ACGCCCCGGCGCGCGUCGUGGCUUGAAUUCUGGCGCCCGAGGCUUGGACGGCGGUGGCGGUCGGAGGAGCUGCUGAGCGCCGCUGGGCCCUGGACUCUCUGUACCUUCUGGCUUUCGGAUUUCGAGUCGUAGAUUUGCGUUGCUGUGGUUGUGAUGUACUUAACGGAAGUAAAGUUCCAGAACACUGCCUGAUGUAAGGCGAGCUCCGAGGAAGUUCUUCUGUUUCUCAUCGUCUAAGGAGAGGCUCCAUCCUGGCCAGGUACCAUUAGUAACCCCAUAGAUGUUACAACCAAAGAUGUCUCCACACAUUGCCAAGUGUCACCUGUGUGAGGUCAAGCCCCGCGUUGGGCUCCAUCCUUGGCAUGAAGGCUACUUAAGUUAAAAAAGAAAAAAAGAAAAAGCUAAUCAAAGGAAGGUAUGAGACGAAAAGUUUAAAAAUCUCUCAGGAUGUAGAACAAAAUGACAACAAAAUGGAAAGUAUGAAAGAAAAGUUAAGAGAUGGAGGGCCAAUGUAUUCCAUAUUAAUCUAACAGAAGUUCCAGAGAGCACCAAGAAAAUGGAGGAGAGGAGAUAAUCAAAGAUUCUAUUUGACUGAGAAAAAAACAUUUCAAGCAGAGAAAACAGGUCUAUAAAGUGGCUCUCACCUGGCUGCACCCUGGAUCACCUGAGAGCUCUUAGAAACACACACACCAAGAUCCCUGCUUCUCCUCAAGGUGGAGUCACAGGGACCAGUUUUACCUUCCCGCCAGAAACCACCACCACCACCACUGCAACAAAACCAGACAAAACACACGAUACAAUGGUUUUCAAAACAGUGGACACCAAGCAAUGAAAGGCAGUAACACGGCUCGCAAUCCCAGAGAGAAAGGAAAACAAGUGAGAUUUGUCCUUUGAGGACACCAGGGCGAGAGCCAUCUCUGCAGGCGGCUGUG